rnacentral:misc_RNA from 1 species
AAGACUAUAGACCUGCGGAGUACCUGCGGAAGGAUCAUUACAGAGUUACUACUCCAAACCCAUUGUGAACCUUACCUAUGUUCUGUUGCCUCGGCGGCGCGGUCAGCGCCCCUCUGAAAAGAGGACGAUGCCCUCCCGCCGGCAGCACCAAACUCUUGAAUUUUACAGCGGAUUACAGUUCUGAUUUAAAAACAAAAAAAACAAGUUAAAACUUUCAACAACGGAUCUCUAGAUCGGAAG